UUCAAAAGCGAAACUGGUAGUGUACCUAUCGAAGAAGUAAUAUGCUUGAAAGCUAAAAUGUACUCUAUCAAACUAGCUGGAGAAAAGCAAAUUGCAAGAGCUAAAGGGGUAAAGAAAAAUAUUGUACGCAAGCACCUCCUCCAUGAGACAUACCACGAUACCUUGUUCAAUCACACGAGCGUAUCGAAUGAGCAAGUGUCAAUAGUUGGAAAGAAACAGUGCAUGUACACCAUCAGAAAUGUCAAAAGAAGUCUGAUGGCAUAUGACGACAAGCGAUACCUCUGCAAUGACAUCGAAUCCUACCCUUACGGAAGCUGUGAAUAUGAAGAUGUGCAGGAAGAGAACUGAUACUUCUGUGACAUGCUGUUCUCGCGUGCUGUCUGGGACUCAGCCGUGGAUGGAGAAGGACGAACGCCUGGGUGAUCCACAUGGUACUUAUGCGAAAAACGCCAUGGAUGUUAAUGGAAAUGUCCAGUGUGCCUGGAAGUGCCCCAGAGAGAACUACAAUCUCUCUGAGACUGCCAUGAUGUACUCAAUAAACAUUGAAAACUA